GUCCACGCCGUAAACGAUGGGUGCUAGGUAUUCGGGGUUUAGACCCCCUGGGUAUCGUAGCUAACGCGUUAAGCACCCCGCCUGUGGAGUACGAGCGCAAGCUUAAAAACAUAAAGGAAUUGACGGGGACCCGCACAAGCGGUGGAGCGUGUGGUUUAAUUCGACGAUAAGCGGAGAACCUUACCAGGGUUUGACAUCCCAGGAAUCUCUUGGAAACAGGAGAGUGCCGCAAGGAAUCUGGUGACAGGUGCUGCAUGGUCGUCGU
rnacentral:rRNA from 1 species